rnacentral:misc_RNA from 1 species
CCUUUCCAUGGCCACUUGCUGUUGGUAGGUGAAGGCGAUUUUUCUUUAUCUGUGUCUCUUCUCUCAUGUCUGCCACGAAAUUUGUGGGGGAACAUAACUUCCACGAGUUUUGAGUCUGAUGUCACCAUUCUGAAGCACAAGACCGCAAAAGACAACAUCCAGUUGCUUAGAGAACACGGUGUCAACGUUUUCUUAAACACGGAUGCAACAAACUUGUUGAAUCAUGAAGAAGUUAAAAAGAAAAAGUAUUGCAGAAUUGUAUUCAAUUUUCCUCACGCAGGAGGCAAGUCCAACCACAAGAAAAACCGAAAGCUGCUGAAAGAUUUCUUCUGCAGUGCUGUGGAGGUCCUUGAGGAGGGUGGGGAGGUUUAUGUAUCACUUUGUCGGGGCCAGGGAGGAACUCCCGCUGAUCGGCCACGCAGGAAGUGGCAUGACAGCUGGCAAGUCGUUGCCAUGGCAGCCUGUGCUGACCUGGUUCUCCAAGAGGUUGUCCCGUUUGUUGCACACAGUCUGUCUGAUUACUCCUCUACAGGGUUCAGGAGCCAAGACAAAGGAUUCAACACAGAGGGAGCUCUCACCCACAUCUUUGUCAGAACGGAGUCGAUUCAGAUCGCAGAUGACUCUCUUCAAAUCUGUCAUGAACUUAAUUGCCUCCAUAAUAACUACAUAAUGCAAAAAACUUCAAGAAAACUUCUCAAAGAAGAUGGCAAUCCUGUGUGUUAUCUCGCAAAGAACCUGGAAACAGAAUUGACAGAGAAGCUGAAGUUCCAGUCAUGUGACAUUGACUUCCAGGUGUCCCCUAAUACUUUGCCCUGCCAUUGUCAGACAGUUAAAGACUCAAACAUAUCGGAGACUAUAGAGAAUCUGUGUGACAUUGAUCAGAGCCGCGGUGUACCAGUACAGCUUUUACAGAAGGAGCCAGUAUUAUGUACUGUUCAGACUAUAGAGGAGGGGCCGAUCAGUCUAGAGGGUCUCCCAGUGAUGCAUUGCAUCAUGGGUAGUGUUCCAGAACCCCAUGUCAUAAAGAGUGAAGCCAUCUGCAGAUUGUUAUCACAAGUUGUAAGCCAUGUAUCAAAAGGAGACUGUGAGCUUAAAACCAGAGGAACAAAAAUUUAUGUCUGUAGAAACACAGACUAUAUUGAUGUUGGAAAAAUAUUUUCUCACUUUGAAGGACACUAUAGCUAUGAACUGUUUUUUCUGAAUCUUGACAAACUAGCAGUUGCACUUUUCCAGCUGCCAAAUAUUAGAAUUCUGUGGUCACUUGACAGUCGCGUAAUAACAAGUUUCCAUAGAAUGUUGACCUCCGACCCCCCAUUGGUAUUCCCUAUAGUCAGUGUCUACCCCUUAGUUUUCUCUCAUGACAUGAGUUUCUGGGAGAACGCUGAACAGUCGUUCAAUGAACAGGAGUUUCUCUCAGUGGUUCGAGAAGUGUGUGGUGAUGUGGUGGUUUGUGUGGAACUCCUUGACCGAUUCCACAGCGUGGAGCUAAAUAAAUUCAGUCGCUGUUAUCGUCUCCAGUUUCAGUCCUUUGACCGAGCUCUGAGUUACAAUACAUCCUGGAGAAUUCAGAGUUGCCUCAGAUUGUGUGUAGCCAACCAGAUGAAAGUGGAACUUAGGUAGCAAAUAACAUCUAGAAUAUCCUUUUUAUUACAAUAAUUCUAAAAAUACAGAAAUUCAAUAAAUAUACAAUCU